rnacentral:rRNA from 1 species
UACGGGGGGAGCAAGCGUUGUUCGGAUUUACUGGGCGUAAAGGGCGCGUAGGCGGCCACCGCAAGUCGACUGUGAAAUCUCCGGGCUUAACCCGGAAAGGUCAGCCGAUACUGCGGGGCUAGAGUGCAGAAGGGGCAACUGGAAUUCUCGGUGUAGCGGUGAAAUGCGUAGAUAUCGAGAGGAACACCUGCGGCGAAGGCGGCCUUCUGGACCAGUACUGACGCUGAGGCACGAAAGCGUGGGGAGCAAACAGG